AGUGGGGGAUAACGUUCGGAAACGGACGCUAAUACCGCAUACGUCCUACGGGAGAAAGCAGGGGACCUUCGGGCCUUGCGCUAUCAGAUGAGCCUAGGUCGGAUUAGCUAGUUGGUGAGGUAAUGGCUCACCAAGGCUACGAUCCGUAACUGGUCUGAGAGGAUGAUCAGUCACACUGGAACUGAGACACGGUCCAGACUCCUACGGGAGGCAGCAGUGGGGAAUAUUGGACAAUGGGCGAAAGCCUGAUCCAGCCAUGCCGCGUGUGUGAAGAAGGUCUUCGGAUUGUAAAGCACUUUAAGUUGGGAGGAAGGGCAUUAACCUAAUACGUUGGUGUCUUGACGUUACCGACAGAAUAAGCACCGGCUAACUCUGUGCCAGCAGCCGCGGUAAUACAGAGGGUGCAAGCGUUAAUCGGAAUUACUGGGCGUAAAGCGCGCGUAGGUGGUUUGUUAAGUUGAAUGUGAAAUCCCCGGGCUCAACCUGGGAACUGCAUCCAAAACUGGCAAGCUAGAGUAUGGUAGAGGGUAGUGGAAUUUCCUGUGUAGCGGUGAAAUGCGUAGAUAUAGGAAGGAACACCAGUGGCGAAGGCGACUACCUGGACUGAUACUGACACUGAGGUGCGAAAGCGUGGGGAGCAAACAGAAUUAGAUACCCUGGUAGUCCACGCCGUAAACGAUCUCAAAAAGCCGUUGGGAGUCUUGAACUCUUAGUGGCGCAGCUAACGCAUUAAGUUGUCCGCCUGGGGAGUACGGCCGCAAGGUUAAAACUCAAAUGAAUUGACGGGGGCCCGCACAAGCGGUGGAGCAUGUGGUUUUAAUUCGAAGCAACGCGAAGAACCUUACCAGGCCUUGACAUCCAAUGAACUUUCCAGAGAUGGAUUGGUGCCUUCGGGAACAUUGAGACAGGUGCUGCAUGGCUGUCGUCAGCUCGUGUCGUGAGAUGUUGGGUUAAGUCCCGUAACGAGCGCAACCCUUGUCCUUAGUUACCAGCACGUAAUGGUGGGCACUCUAAGGAGACUGCCGGUGACAAACCGGAGGAAGGUGGGGAUGGCGUCAAGUCAUCAUGGCCCUUACGGCCUGGGCUACACACGUGCUACAAUGGUCGGUACAAAGGGUUGCCAAGCCGCGAGGUGGAGCUAAUCCCAUAAAACCGAUCGUAGUCCGGAUCGCAGUCUGCAACUCGACUGCGUGAAGUCGGAAUCGCUAGUAAUCGUGAAUCAGAAUGUCACGGUGAAUACGUUCCCGGGCCUUGCACACACCGCCCGUCA
rnacentral:rRNA from 1 species